rnacentral:rRNA from 1 species
AUUGAACGCUGGCGGCAUGCCUUACACAUGCAAGUCGAACGGCAGCACGGGUGCUUGCUCCUGGUGGCGAGUGGCGAACGGGUGAGUAAUACAUCGGCACAUGUCCUGUAGUGGGGGAUAGCCCGGCGAAAGCCGGAUUAAUACCGCAUACGAUCUACGGAUGAAAGCGGGGGACCUUCGGGCUUCGCGCUUUCGGGUUGGCCGAUGGCUGAUUAGCUAGUUGGUGGGGUAAAGGCCUACCAAGGCGACGAUCAGUAGCUGGUCUGAGAGGACGACCAGCCACACUGGGACUGAGACACGGCCCAGACUCCUACGGGAGGCAGCAGUGGGGAAUUUUGGACAAUGGGCGAAAGCCUGAUCCAGCAAUGCCGCGUGUGUGAAGAAGGCCUUCGGGUUGUAAAGCACUUUUGUCCGGAAAGAAAUCCUUGGCCCUAAUACGGUCGGGGGAUGACGGUACCGGAAGAAUAAGCACCGGCUAACUACGUG